rnacentral:tRNA from 1 species
GCCCGGCUAGCUCAAUCGGCAGAUCGUGAGACUCUUAAUCUCAAGGUUGCGGGUUCGACCCCCGCGUUGGCCU